rnacentral:misc_RNA from 1 species
UAUCUAUAAUAAUAUAUAUAAAAGCGAAAGGUCACUCAUUCAUCACGAAAUAUCCGAAACUAUAACACCUACAAACUUGAAAUUUGGCAGGUAGGCUCCUUAUAAGACGUAGGCAUCCGUUAAGAACGGAUUUUACGAAACUCGACCCCCAAGGGGGUGAAACGGGGGUUGGAAGUUUGUAUGAAAGUCCUAUGUUUUUGAAGUAAGAGACUUAAAAUUUAAAAUGUAAGCUCUAUAGAUGAUAAAAAG